rnacentral:rRNA from 1 species
GGGCCCGCACAAGCGGUGGAACAUGUGGUUUAAUUCGACGCAACGCGCAAAACCUUACCUGGAUUUGACAUCCCGGGCUCACCUCAGAGAUGAGGUUUUCUCUUCGGAGACCCGGUGACAGGUGCUGCAUGGCUGUCGUCAGCUCGUGUCGUGAGAUGUUGGGUUAAGUCCCGCAACGAGCGCAACCCUUGUCCCUAGUUGCCAGCAUUGAGUUGGGCACUCUAGGGAGACUGCCGGUGAUAAGCCGGAGGAAGGUGGGGAUGACGUCAAGUCCUCAUGGCCUUUAUGUCCAGGGCUACACACGUGUUACAAUGGGGGUGACAAGAGUGGCAAGCUGCGAAGCUGCG